UACGUAGGGGGGCGAGCGUUGUCCGGAAUCAUUGGGCGUAAAGCGCGUGUAGGCGGUCCGGUAAGUCCGCUGUGAAAGUCGGGGGGCUCAACCCUCGGAUGCCGGUGGAUACUGUCGGGCUUGAGUACGGAAGAGGCGAGUGGAAUUCCUGGUGUAGCGGUGAAAUGCGCAGAUAUCAGGAGGAACACCAAUUGCGAAGGCAGCUCGCUGGGACGUUACUGACGCUGAGACGCGAAAGCGUGGGGAGCAAACAGG
rnacentral:rRNA from 1 species